rnacentral:rRNA from 1 species
UACGUAGGGUGCAAGCGUUGUCCGGAAUUACUGGGCGUAAAGCGCGUGUAGGCGGCCCUGCAAGUCGGGUGUGAAAUCCCACGGCUCAACCGUGGAAGUGCACUCGAAACUGCAGGGCUAGAGUCCUGGAGAGGAAGGUGGAAUGCUUGGUGUAGAGGUGAAAUUCGUAGAUAUCAAGCGGAACACCGGUGGCGAAGGCGGCCUUCUGGACAGUGAC